rnacentral:rRNA from 1 species
ACUGGAACUGAGACACGGUCCAGACUCCUACGGGAGGCAGCAGUAAGGAAUCUUCCACAAUGGGCGAAAGCCUGAUGGAGCAACGCCGCGUGCAGGAUGAAGGCCCUCGGGUCGUAAACUGCUUUUAUAAGUGAGGAAUAUGACGGUAACUUAUGAAUAAGGAUCGGCUAACUACGUGCCAGCAGCCGCGGUCAUACGUAGGAUCCGAGCGUUAUCCGGAGUGACUGGGCGUAAAGAGUUGCGUAGGCGGUUAGUUAAGUGAAUAGUGAAACCUGGUGGCUCAACCAUACAGACUAUUAUUCAAACUGCAUAACUCGAGAGUGGUAGAGGUAACUGGAAUUUCUUGUGUAGGAGUGAAAUCCGUAGAUAUAAGAAGGAACACCAAUGGCGUAGGCAGGUUACUGGACCAUUUCUGACACUAAGGCACGAAAGCGUGGGGAGCGAACCGGAUUAGAUACCCGGGUAGUCCACGCCGUAAACGAUGGAUACUAGCUGUUGGAGGUAUCGACCCCUUCAGUAGCGAAGCUAACGCGUUAAGUAUCCCGCCUGUGGAGUACGGUCGCAAGACUAAAA